rnacentral:lncRNA from 1 species
UCUUUGGAACUAGAUAAUAUGAGCAAGAUUUCCCUAACUUCAAUUUUCUUGGUCUACAUACUAUUGGCUGUAAUUGGUAUAAUGAUCUUCAUUAAUCUUUGUCCAUUCAGUAUCUCCUAUGUGUUUUUUUUUAAAAUCUUUCGUAUAUAGAGUCAUCAAACUCCCUUUUUUUGUCACUAAAGUUGUUUGAUUUUGUUACAUUUUAAAAAAAAAAACUCUAAUCUUUGGUUACUAUCUGAUGCAAAUAUUUCAUCAUAAGAUGUUACCUAAAUUUCUGAUACGAGUAAUCUUCCACUUUUUUAUAUGAAGAAAAAGGGAGUCGAUAUUUUCUUCUCUUUCUUAUAAUGAGUAAAUCACUUUUCCUUUACAAGAAUUAGGCUUGUUACAGUUGACCCCAUAUAUUUUCAUAAUAUGCUAUAUUAUAUAAGUAUUUCUUAUUAUUGACUUAAUAUAAGUUAUUAUUUGUUUGUUUUUGUCUCUCACCAUAAUUAAAUACUUAAUCAUCCCUAUUUAUUUUUGAAACUGAGCCUAAAAAUGACAUUUAAUUUUGUUGAAGGUUCAUCAUGCUUGGAAGUAUCAGCUCAACAUGAGUGUAAUGAUUGGAAGCAGUGUAAGGUUUACUGCUUUCCAUAUCAACCACACUGCAGAAGUGGACAUUGUAUAUGUGGAGCUGUGAACAACUAUCAACCUGCAACUGAAACAAGUACUGUUGGCCGAAAAUCAUUACAACAUUAGAUUUUAUUAUGCAAAAAUAAUAUUACUCAAUAGCUUACCUAUUGUGACUCAAUGAUUGAAUCAGGGAGGCUCUCUAUGAAGAACUUAUGACAACUCUAAAUUAAAUGAUUA